CUGGUGAUGAAGAAAGGCUGAGCAGAGGAUGAUGAUGAAGGAAUAACGCUUGUGUUA
rnacentral:sRNA from 1 species